rnacentral:RNase_P_RNA from 1 species
UGGAGCAGAAGCGCGACUGACGGUACUCGCCCUUGUGGUGAGAGCUGAGGAAACUCCCGACUCGAUGUCGACGGUGGUCCUGUGAGAGCAGGGAGGCGAGAGCUUCGCUCUGGGAACAGAAACGACACCUCCAGACUGGGUAUGACAAUGAUACAGAGAUUGAAUCUGUUGAGGACCAGUCUGGACAGGUUGAAACGGCCCAUCACCAAUCGAGCAAGUCCAAGAAUACACCGUUGAAGUGUCGACCUGAGGUGUAGGGUAGGAUGCUUAGUUUGAUGUCGCAAGAUGCGUUCAGGGUGACUUGAGCGCAUGGAACAGAAUUGGGGUUACUCUCUGCACCA